AUGUGUAUUUCAUUCCCCUUGAAUAACAGACAGCUCAAGAUAAAUAUUAAGUGUAAAUUGUGGAGUUUUAGGGAAAAAAGUGACUCUUCAGUGGACAGACUGUUGUUCACGGUGCAGGAGGUUUUUGUACGAGCACCUAAUGAGUCUGUAUCACUGUGGAACACUUUCGGUGGAGGAACCAAACUCAACAUUGACUUGGGUGUGGUGCGGCCCACCCUGACCCUCCUCCCCCCUUCCAGUGAAGAGCUGAAGCAGGGCACUGCCACUCUGGUGUGUAUGGCCAGCGGGGGCUUCCCCUCAGCCUGGAGCCUGGGCUGGAAGGUGGGGGGCAGCAGCCGGUCCUCAGGGGUGUCUCACAGCCCGGGGGUCCUGGGGGGGGCUGGCCACUACAGCUGGAGCAGCACCAUGAGCGUCCCUGCAGAUCAGUGGAGGAAGGCGGGCUCAGUGAGCUGUGAGGCCAGUCUGAACGGACAGAGCCCUGUCGCUCAAACCCUGGACCCUGACCUCUGCUCGGAGUAGAGAGACGACCGGGUGGAGUCAUUGUGCUCUACUGUGGGUCCCUUUGAUUUACAUGUGUUCUACUGCAGCUCUGCAUGUCUUCAUGUCUUUUCUUCAACUCAUUAUGACAGUCCAAUGCUGUAUUGUGCUACUUUUGAAAUACAUAUUUCAUGUUCUCGUGUCAUUUUUUUUUCACAUUUCUGUUUUGACUUUACUAAAAUAAAAUAUAUCAUCACUAA